GUCGCACGGGACCGGGGGCAACUCCGGUUCAGUGGCAGACGGGUGCGUAACACGUGAGGAACCUGUCCGACGGCGGGGGAUAGCCGGCCUAACGGCCGGGUAAUACCGCAUACGAUCGUCCGGGGGCAUCCCUGGGCGAGGAAAGCAGCCGCAAGGUUGCGCCGAUGGAGGGCCUCGCGGCCUAUCAGCUCGUUGGCGGGGUAACGGCCUACCAAGGCGACGACGGGUAGCUGGUCUGAGAGGAUGGCCAGCCACAUUGGGACUGAGACACGGCCCAGACUCCUACGGGAGGCAGCAGUGGGGAAUAUUGCGCAAUGGCCGCAAGGCUGACGCAGCGACGCCGCGUGUGGGAUGACGGCCUUCGGGUUGUAAACCACUGUCGGGAGGGACGAAUACCGGGCGACGAAUAGCCGACCCGGGGUGACGGUACCUCCAAAGGAAGCACCGGCUAACUCCGUGCCAGCAGCCGCGGUAACACGGAAGGUGCGAGCGAUGUCCGGAAUCACUGGGCGUAAAGGGCGCGUACGCGGCCCGUUAAGUUGCUGGUGAAAUCCCGGGGCUCAACUCCCGGGCUGCCGGCGGACUGACGGGCUGGAGCACGGUAGAGGCAGAUGGAAUUCCCGGUGUAGCGGUGGAAUGCGUAGAGAUCGGGAAGAAUACCGGUGGGGAAGGCGUUCUGCUGGGCCGUUGCUGACGCUGAGGCGCGACAACGUGGGGAGCAAACAAGAUUAGAUACCCUGGUAGUCCACGCCGUAACGAUGGACACUAGGCGUCGGGGGGAGCGACCCCCCUCGGUGUCGUCGCUAUCGUCAAUAAGUGUCCCGCCUGGGGAGUACAGUCCGCAACUGCUGAUACUCAACUGCAUGACGGGG
rnacentral:rRNA from 1 species